rnacentral:rRNA from 1 species
UACAGAGGUCCCAAGCGUUGUUCGGAUUCACUGGGCGUAAAGGGUGCGUAGGUGGUUAGGUAAGUCUGAUGUGAAAUCUCUGGGCUCAACCCAGAAACUGCAUUGGAUACUAUCUAGCUAGAGGAGUGGAGGGGGGACUGGAAUACUUGGUGUAGCAGUGAAAUGCGUAGAUAUCAAGUGGAACACCAGUGGCGAAGGCGAGUCCCUGGACACUUCCUGACGCUGAAGCACGAAGGCCAGGGGAGCAAACGGG